AGAGUUUGAUCAUGGCUCAGAUUGAACGCUGGCGGAAUGCUUUACGCAUGCAAGUCGAGCGGCAGCACGGGGGCAACCCUGGUGGCGAGCGGCGAACGGGUGAGUAAUACAUCGGAACAUGCCCAGUCGUGGGGGAUAACACUUCGAAAGAAGUGCUAAUACCGCAUACGUCCUGAGGGAGAAAGCGGGGGAUCGCAAGACCUCGCGCGAUUGGAGUGGCCGAUGUCAGAUUAGCUAGUUGGUGGGGUAAAGGCCUACCAAGGCAACGAUCUGUAGCUGGUCUGAGAGGAUGAUCAGCCACACUGGGACUGAGACACGGCCCAGACUCCUACGGGAGGCAGCAGUGGGGAAUUUUGGACAAUGGGGGCAACCCUGAUCCAGCCAUUCCGCGUGAGUGAAGAAGGCCUUCGGGUUGUAAAGCUCUUUCGGCAGGAACGAAACGGUGAGCUCUAACAUAGCUUGCUAAUGACGGUACCUGAAGAAGAAGCACCGGCUAACUACGUGCCAGCAGCCGCGGUAAUACGUAGGGUGCGAGCGUUAAUCGGAAUUACUGGGCGUAAAGCGUGCGCAGGCGGUUGUGUAAGACAGGUGUGAAAUCCCCGGGCUUAAC
rnacentral:rRNA from 1 species